rnacentral:tRNA from 2 species
GCGGAAGUGGUGGAAUGGCAGACACGCUAGGUUCAGGACCUAGUGAGCGCAAGCUCGUGGGGGUUCGAAUCCCCCCUUCCGCA